rnacentral:misc_RNA from 1 species
GUAACAAGGUUUCCGUAGGUGAACCUGCGGAAGGAUCAUUAUUGAAUAAAUCUGACGUGGUUGUCGCUGGCUCCCCCGGGAGCAUGUGCACGCCCGUCACCUUUAUUUCUCCACCUGUGCACACACUGUAGGCCUGGAUACCUCUCGUCGCAAGGCGGAUGCGUGGCUUGCUGUCGCUUUCGAAAGAAGGCCGGCUUGCCAUAAAUUUCCAGGUCUAUGAUUUCUUACACACCCCAAACUGAAUGUUAUGGAAUGUCAUCUCAAGGCCUUGUGCCUAUAAACCUAUACAACUUUCAGCAACGGAUCUCUUGGCUCUCGCAUCGAUGAAGAACGCAGCGAAAUGCGAUAAGUAAUGUGAAUUGCAGAAUUCAGUGAAUCAUCGAAUCUUUGAACGCACCUUGCGCUCCUUGGUAUUCCGAGGAGCAUGCCUGUUUGAGUGUCAUUAAAUUCUCAACCUCACCAACUUUGUUGUGUGCAGGCUUGGAUGUGGGGGUUGCAGGUCCACUCUCGUGGUCUGCUCCUCUGAAAUGUAUUAGUGUGGGUUGUGCCCCUAAUCUAUUGGUGUGAUAAUUAUCUACGCCGUGGAUUGGGUUGGUUACUUGAAGACCUGCUUCUAACCGUCCCUUGGACAACUUUUGACAAUUUUGACCUCAAAUCAGGCAAGACUACCCGCUGAACUUAAGCAUAUCA